GCCCAUCACACCGACUCUAUGAUCACUGCCAUCGUCCACAGUCACGGAGGAGAAACGAACAAGUCAACGCUGGAUGAGGAAAAUGCACAUCUCUUUGUCUCUUCUCUUCCUCCUCAUAGGUUCAACUUGGACCUUGAAGCAGGGGGAUUUCGGCAUUUUGACUGCAUGCACCUCCAACAGCAGCCUCAGGUUGCAGUGCCGUUAUGCAUUAUGUAAGGGUUCUCCGCCCUUCUCCUGUACGUUUUCGGCUUCAGACGGGUUCCUGCCGGCUAACCAAUCCAUGAAUUGCAACAUUACCAUCCCGAACCAUUUUGUGCUGUACGAACAUAAACCCGUGACUUACAACUGCACACUGACGCGAAAGGUCAGGAUGGAAGAGAAGCAAAUCACCAUCGACUACAGUAUACGAAAAG